AUCGUCUCUCUCUCUCUCUCUAAAAUGCCAACUCCAUAUUGAUCAGUUCAUUAAUCUCCGGUACGCUUUGUGGUGUCCCGUCUAACUCCAUUGUAGUCGGAAACAAUGGCGGUUCCCGGCGAGAAUCACAGUUCCGGGAAUUCAUUCUCUAGUUUUUUCACUUCACGAACUCCUAUUUUAGGUCUUCAGCUCUAUAUCGUGAUUGCCGCUACUGUUAUCAUUAUGGUUGUUGUGCUUUUUCUCAUCUUUCUACUUCUCAGGCUAAAUCAAAGCUCGAAAAGACGUCGCAGUGGAGGUAAGAAGAGUGUCGGGUUGUUACCUUUGGUAGCUGAUGUGAUUCGCGACAGUAGAACAACCGAUCUCAAUGAGAUUGGUAAAGUGAAUCAUUUAUUGAAAAAGGAGAAUGAGACUAUUGCGAUUCUCCCUAAAGAAGAUCAGGAAGUGAUCGAGAUUGAGUCCGAUGGUAUAAAAGGAAGUUCAGGGAGUAAUGAGUCAAGUACGAGCCGGAGUGAUACAUCGUCGGCGAUCUCUGGUUCAACCGAGUCGACGAAUAUUGGGUGGGGCCGUUGGUACAGUUUGAAAGAACUGGAGAUGGCGACCAAAGGAUUUCGUGCCGAGAAUGUGAUCGGUGAAGGUGGAUACGGUGUCGUAUUUCGUGGAGUCUUACAAGAUGGUUCAGUAGUAGCUGUCAAGAAGCUUCUAAACAACAAGGGUCAGGCAGAGA
rnacentral:misc_RNA from 1 species